rnacentral:lncRNA from 1 species
GACAGGUUUUUUUUUCCUACAUAAGAUAGAAACUGAUGCUGUGAACACUUCAAGUCUAGGAGAAAAAAAUGUGAGUUGAAGCUAUGUAUGAUCAGGAUUUUGAACUGUAAGAUAUGUGGCUUGUGUGGAAAUCUCUGAAGUCUAUGAGAUCACAAAGUGGAAGUCACAGGUAAACUGUGUCUGAGGAAGGUGCAGAGAAGGAAAGGAGAAAAAACUGCGCACGUUUGGAGUCACAGAAUGGGUUUCAUUCUGGCAACCUUGAUUAACACAAGAGGAUAUUGAAAGGAUUUGAAGAAAGUUAUCCCGCUGAUUCCUUAACAAGAUGGUAAGCACUUAAAAGAUCCAAUUUCAUCUUCUUUACUACCCUGGCAGUGCUUAGACUAUAUACAGGCAUUUCAUAAGCAAUGAAGAUGAUGCACACUGACUGAAAAUAUUUUCAAAGUUGUAAAGGACCCUCUGAUUCUUAAAGCCAGGUUGGGCACAACUCAUGCAAGCAUUCAGUGGCCUCCAGAGCUCUCAGCCCAGCUGGGUGUCCUUUAGGGUAAGUAAUCAUACUUCCUGGAAGCCCACUUUCUCCAUCUGUGAAGUGGAGGCCACAGGGAAUAUCUAAUAAGUAUCUAGUGAUGAAAUUCAUGGGCGCUUGGAAAGGGCACUGUUUCAGACUGAGCAAGGCUCAGGAAGCCAGGGAGGCAUAAUCACUCCCACAGAAAUUGCAUUUGUCUCUAAGGUUUGAUCUGCCUGUAUGAAUGAGAGAAAGAAUUUAGCGUGAGGGAUAUUUAAAAUUGGAUCCUUUGUUUGCCUGAAUAAAUGCCUCAUGCAUUUUUGAGUUUGAUUUCCUGUUUUGUUUAUCUCCAGAAGAAAAGAAAAUAAGGCAGAAAAUUCUCCAGCAGAGCUGAGGCAAGAAGUGCUCAUAUUUAAAAUCCCAUUUGCUUGCCUAGCCCCUUGGUGACCUCUGUGCUGUGGGUAACAUUCACUGCCUCCAGGAAAGCCGAGGUCGGUGGGUGCAGUGGGUAGGCGGGAAUGCUGGUGGGUGAGCACCUCUUUCCCUCAUCAUCUACCAUCCAUCAGAGGCCUGUCUCCCCUGAUUCUUAUCUGACACUCAUUUGCACUGCUUGGAGAGAAGGUGCAAGGAACUAGGAGAAGAUGCUCAAAAAAACACGGAUCAGGAAGAUGACUGCAGCAUUGGAGAAACCAGGCAUUGAUUUUGUGGACCUCUGGGGAAGAGCUCUUGGGUGCUCUUACAAGGAUGACGAGGGCUGUGUUGAUCUUGGGAGAUGCCACUAAGGGGUUAGGGGUCAAAAGAAUUAAAUUGCAGAGGCUUAGGUGUCAAAAUAAAGAGGAACCAAGAAACAAAAUCAUGCAGAGCUUUCCAAACUACACUCUUAGCAUUUAGUCUUAGCCUUCCGUUAAAACAGCUAAGACAAGGCACAUACCACUGCAUUAUAAACCUGUUGUAGCAGUCAUGACCAUUUCACGGAGUAAUACCAACUUGCCAAAAGGAUUGACUCAGAGUUAAAUAGUGAAGGGAGGGAAGUGGCUAUCUUUUGACUCUAUAACAUAUUCGUCUUAAUAUCAUGAUGUUAUCUUUGAAAUUCUUAAAUUUCAAUAAUAUCAUUAUAGUGACAAUUUUAUGAGUUGGGUGUUGGAUUCUCACAAUCACUGAAAGGUUUAGUUGGGUGACUUUAGCUCUUUUUGGCAGCAGUUUAACAAUAGUAACUAUGUCGCUUUACUAUUUAAGAUAUUUCCUGAACACUAGCUCACUUCUUAACAACUUGGUGAGAUUGUUUUUCUGACUUUCCCACUUUACAGCUGAGGAAACUGAGGCUCAGGGAAAGAGAACUGGCACUUGCUUUUGACCCCAAAUCCUGGCUCUCCUGGCUGCUCUGUGAAAUCCUAAAUCAUGGUAACCCUGGAUACCACCAUACCAGCUUUGGUUGCAUGAUAGAAUUAAGGCCAAUAGCAUCUAUGCUGCAGUGAAGGCAUGGAUGGGAAACUCGCAGUGAAGGAGAGUGUAAUUCAUUGAAAUGACAAAUACAUUGCAUCUGUGCUAUAAACUAUGACUGAAAUGCUUCCUGCUCUCCUUAAGGAAGUGAAUAAGGCCCUUAUAGUGACCCCUACUGCUAAGACUUCUCGUGCCCAUGAAGACUCCUGCACUUCCACUGCUGUUGGAAGCUGAAGGCCAUCAGAAGCCCGCUGUCAAAGAAUUAUACAAUCUGGAAAACAGUCUGUUGGCUUCCCAUUGUAUUGGCCUCAUUGCGUCCAGUAAAGGAUGCCUGAAUCCUCUAAAAUUCAGGAAACUUUAGGACCCAUUGUUGGGGGUUUUGAGAGAUGGAAAGCGAGUUGUGCAGCCUUGGCUGGGCUGCAGCUGCGGAACAUGCCUAUGGCAAUGGUGACUUCCAUAGAAGGUCUAUGCUUCCCCAAGGAAAGGGCCUGAGGGCAGGACCUGAGCUCCCGUGAGGCACUACAUGGCAAAAUAAAGCCAAGGUGGACAGAGAACCUUGUGUUGGAAAAACGUCAAGGAGGAAAAAAAAGUGAAACUGCACCAGGUCACCUUACUGCAGUCCCCCCAUCAAAGGUCCCAAGAGGGAAAGCUGCCUACAACCUGGAUUUGGCAGGUACUAGUGCUUGGAAUUAAAUUCAUUCCUGUAGGGAUGGGGCAGCCAGGGAGCAAGAAAGGGUUGGAAUGCUUAUGAGGGAUUAAAAUAAAAAAUAUUAAAAUAUUAAACUUCAAAUAAAAAAUAAAAUCAAAAAUGAAUUAAGAAACUGCCCUGCCAACAACUUUGUCUUAUAACAUCAAUAAGGAUAAAUUAAAGGGGAAAAGAGGGUAAUAAUGAUCUGAUUCACGCCUUCUGCAAAGUCCUUGACGACGCUGUAGAACUGGAAGGAUGGCAAUCCACCCUUUCAUCUGGUUUAAUGUGGUGGCAGCACAGUAUUUUUUCAUUGCCAUGAACCACGCAACGGUCGACCUGUAACCACCCUGCUCCCCAGCAGGCUCACACACCUUCUGAGAGUUGUCCUUCUGUGUCUGCCAAGCCCUGAUGAUAAGGUGUGUUCCUCCACAUUAGUCAUAGAGGAGACUUAUGGGGAAGGUAGAAAAAUCACUUUCAGAUCAACGUCAAAACCAACGCUUGCUGUGCAGGUCUCUGCAAAUGCCCAUAUUCAAUCUCUACCACUCAUUCCUUUGUUAUUGUUAACAAUUAUAUAAGUUUAUUAUUAAAAAUUCAAACAAGUACACUAAACAGCAU